rnacentral:lncRNA from 1 species
GGGGCACAGCUCUUAUGGAGGCAUUUCUGGAAAAAUAAUGUUUUUUCUUGUUCUGCAGGAUCCCCUGGCCUUGAUGAUGGAAAUGAAUUAAGUGCUAAGUGGCACUGCAGUGAAAGCCUGCCGCAUAUAGCUUCGCUUCCUGCAGGACAGAGCCUCCUCAGCCUCCAAAGUGGUAGAGAGGCGCCCAGGUAAACUGAGUCCACAGGGCUGGCACUAGGAGGCUGAAAAUAAUGACAGCCAGACCACCUUUCUAUGCCUACCAGGGAG